CAGAAAGACCUGCUUAUUCGUCCCAGGAAAAAAUGAUUGUAACCAGUUACAUCCAACUAGUUAUGACUUAAAGUGAAUCCCUCUUCAGUUUGGAGAAUAAGAAGAAUAUUGAUCAUGCAAAGUAGAGGAAGACAUUGGAGAAUUCAUAUGCUAUUUUAGCUGGCUCUGUGAUUGCAAUCACACAAAUCACUACAUUCCAGAGAGAUCCCAAGAACAGAAGGUUUUUCCAUUUCAGUCUUUCAAGAACCUUAAAGAUCCUUGGAGGUGGCUUGAAAGCCAAUUUUGGGAGCCAGAACUGGAGAGAGGACUGAGGGAGUCUUCGAGAGAUCCAGACACUUCCUCACCUCCUAUUUCGACUGCAACAGCUUCUCUUUGAACUUUCUAUAAAUUGGAAUUCUGCGGAGGGAUUGGUUUUAAAAGGGGGUUCUGCUUCUUUUAAAAAAUUAUCUGGCGUAGACCAGUGUGCCAAAAAUAACUGCAGUGUUUAAAUUAAACCAUUAUAGAAUCUACUCUUAAAUUAACUGUUAGACUUCCUAAGACCCAAGGGAGUGAACAAAGUUGGCUGUUGUGAAGAAAGAAGCUGACAAACGACGUGGCCCCACGUUGAAGCAGCAAAAGAUUCUGGAAGGCAGCUGCUCCAUGGAGCUUUUCUGAGCAUGCUCUCCAAGUCCUAUAGCGGAGUUCCUUAAUUCCUAGAGGACGCUCUUGCAUUCUUGGCUGUUUUCUGUAGUAAGGUGACCACUGACCAUUUUGACUGCUUCAGAUCAGUUUUGUGCUUUGACUUCAAAUGUCAAAGCACAUUUGUAUGUGCUUUGAGAAAUGUAAUGAGAGAUCUGUGUUCACAGGGCACAUAGUAGUUUGAGAAAUGUGCUCAAUAAAUGCUUGUUGUUGAUUGAAUACAUAGUUUUGAAAAUAAUAUUUAACUUUUCUUCUAGAAUACUAACUGGACUCAGAGACUGACCACAGUCACUUGUGACAGUAUCUAACUAGACAUUGUCCUAUUUUCUCCCUAAAAUCCAACUUCAUUACUUUAUGAAUUUCAACCUAACAUCUACCUGUGCUUAGAGGUUUUGCUUUAAUGGAAGAAACAAUCCAUUAUAUAGACUGCAAAUGUUCUCAUAUUUAUCACAGGUAAAUAAAGGAAACUGUCUUUAGAAUAAAGUUUAUUUUUAUUAAGUAUUAGCUCCUAGUUGUUUAAUUUUUAUAAAGGACUCAUUAGAGGAGCAUCCUUGUUGGUUGGCUGUUUUGAUGUUAUUUUCCUCUUAAUUUUAUCCUAAAAAAGAUAGAGUGUAAAUAAUAAUACUAUAUAUUUGUAUCUUGAUUUGUAGUUUAUCAAAUAUUACAUCUGUUUGUCAUAACAAUCCUGAAAAGUAUGUAUUAUUAUCUCCACUUUAAAGAUGAGUGAAAUAGCUAAAUCACUAGUUCAGUGUCCUAUACCCAGCACCUAGCACUGUUUACCUGCAUUUUUAGGGCGGGUGUGUUUAGUUAAGAGACAACGAGUAGGUAACUGUUCUUAACCCUGGAU
ensembl:lncRNA